AGCAGUAGCCGCGGUAAUACGUAGGGUGCGAGCGUUAAUCGGAAUUACUGGGCGUAAAGCGUGCGCAGGCGGUUGUGUAAGACAGGUGUGAAAUCCCCGGGCUUAACCUGGGAACUGCGCUUGUGACUGCACAGCUAGAGUAUGGCAGAGGGGGGUGGAAUUCCACGUGUAGCAGUGAAAUGCGUAGAGAUGUGGAGGAACACCGAUGGCGGAGGCAGCCCCCUGGGCCAAUACUGACGCUCAUGCACGAAAGCGUGGGGAGCAAACAGGAUUAGAUACCCCAGUAGUCCCUGUCUCUUAUAC
rnacentral:rRNA from 1 species